UACAACCAGACGGUGCAGAUAACCCCAAG
rnacentral:sRNA from 1 species